CGGACCGGUUGGGUGGCGUUCGCUUAAAUCAACCCAUGCGCUGAUGACACGCCUUUGCUGGGCCGGGACUGGAGUCCUGGUUUUGUGGGGGGUUUUGUUGUGGUCAGUAACAUUGAAUUUGAACCUCAGAAGUGGAAAGCCAUUUAAAAACGAAUCAAGUCGCUUCAGCAGUUGACAGCCAAAAGAGCUGAAGAAUGUGAUAAGACUGUGAACUGUCCAUUCCAGCCUCCCAGAUGGGAAGGAUAGAGUGCAUUGGAGUGGGGAGAUUCAGGAAGCUUCACCUUGUGUGUAGGUGCCAGAAGGCCAGACAACAGGCGGUGAUGGGAUGCAGAGCAUCAGAAUCCAAGGAGUCCAGUGGCAAUAAGGUUGUCAGAUAAAAUACAGGACGUUCGGUUUCUAAAUUCAGAGUUGAAGGAGCAGAGAGAGAGGGAGAGAGAAUCCCAAGCAUCCACCAUCCCGUCAGCAUAGAGCCCAAAGCAGGACUCGAUCUCACAAACCAAACCAUGAGAUCAUGACUUGAGCCAACAUCAAGAAUUGGAAGCUUAACCAACAGAGCCACACAGGACCCCUUUGUGUAUCUGAAACUCAAAUCUAACUUCAAGUCCUAUUUUUUCAUUUGGUAAGUCUAGCAACACUGGGUGGAAAGUCGCCUAAAAGGGAGACCUUAAAUUAGCCAGGGCCGAUGAGCUCUAAGAAAUAGAAAACCAUGACAAGCUUCUUUAAAGCAAAAAUAUAAAU